GCCAGCGACAGAAUCACCCGUCAAUCCGCGGCCAGCGGGCUAGCCCCGCCCACCCCCUGCCGCCAUUGGCCAGUCUCUCCGUGCUUUAAGGGGGGUAGGGCGGGAAGGGGAGCUUUUUCCGCUUCCGGUGCUGGCGGCGGGGGGGUCGCGGGUGGACGUGGGGGGCGGGCGUGGCGGUGGUUGAGCUGCGGCCGGCUGAGCUGAGGGUGCUCAGGAGCACUGUGGGAGGCGUGCGGAGGUGCCCCCCCUCAGCCGGGGGAGCGCCGACUUCACUUCGGGGCGCGUCGGGUAGCAGCUCAGUCUGCGAGGAGCUCCUGGGCAGGCCCUGAGGCCUUCCCUGGUUCUUCUCCGAGCGCUUGGAGAUGAGCACAGGAGAGUUCUGCAGCAGCGGUGUCCGGGCGAUAAUGGUUUAAAUUGCCUGCUGAGAAGAAAUAUUAAUGGGACUUCCAUGAGACUCCUGAUGUUUUGUUGAUGUUCCUGUUAGAAGACCUAUUAUCACCUCCUUUUGAAAACAGCAAUCAAAGUUGAUACUCAAACUGCAAGGCUUAAACAGGCAGUCACAAAUAAGAUUACUUCCAGGCAUUCUGCAGCUGAGCAAAAUGAGUUCUGAGUCAGUGGUUUUGAGGUUCUUCUGUAGUACACAAGCAGUUAGACACCUAAGAAUAUUACAGUUUUUUCUUCCUUUUCGAAGCUGGGUACCUGUGUCUUCGUGACUUGUGGCAGAGGCUGGAAGUGAAGCCCCUUAUGUGUGAGAACAGUUGAGCUCUUAAGUGGUUUUAUCUUGUGAAGCUUCUUAAUUGGCAUGGUUUGAGCUCCUGUUCUGAAUGCCAGGUAAAUAAUUUGAGGCAUACAAUCUGGGCAAUAUCUGGUGGCAUUAACGUAUCCUAAACUUUGAGAGCAUUAGGAAUGCUUAAAAUGUACCUACAGUUCUGGCCUGCACAGUUAAAAUCUGUGUGGCAUGCUUAAAUUGUGAAUGCUGAAGAAGCAGCUGUGAACAGUUCCCAAUUAUUUGGGAGAUGUACUAGUUUGAAGAUGUUGCGCAACAAGCAGCAGAACUGUUGAAAUGCUAUAUUUUUUUCUGGUAAAAACUCAAGUUUCAUGGGGAACUGACAUUUUAGAAUCUGAAGUGUAUCUAACUUUUUCUGGAUCUAACCAGGAGACCUAUAAGCAAAUUUGUUUCUGAACUAGAUGAAUAAUUGAAUCACACUUACACAUUCAUAGGAUACCCCCAAGAGGGUGUUUGCAUUAGCUUUAAAAUUUAACAGUCCAUUUCAUAAUUGACAAAGGCAAAGGAUAUAUAUGAAAUUACGUAAGUCAGUUGUAACAGAUGGAUGAUCUAUGUGAUCUGAAUGAGUUGAUUUGGAUCAUGUAAGAAUGCCUUUGGCAGGGAGAAGUCGUGCUGGUAAUCAAAGCAAAAAUGUUUGAGCCCAGCAUUUAACAAGUAGAACAGAACGUUCAAGCUUGAAUGCAGACCUUGAAACUAGAUACUCUUUAUGAAGAUUUCAAGCUUGACUCAAUAACACUUCCCAGUAUAUGCCAGUUCCUGCUAAGUCUGCUUUUGGAAUUAAGCAAUAGAAAGAGACUUGGAUUCUAAUACAUGCAUCUCCUGUUCUUUGUGUUCACUUUUGACCAGUGUUGAAGAACAGGGUCCUGGGCCCUGAGCAUCAGGCCUAACUACGUAUGGUAAUCUUUACAAAUUGUUAUGUACUUAUGUUGUGGUUCAGCCCGGCUGGCAGUCAAACACCACACAGCUGUUUGCUCACCCUCCCCCCUCCCUCUCCAGGAUGGGGGAGAGAAACGGGAAAGUGAAGCCUGUGAGUUGAGAUAAAGACAGUUUAUUAAGACAGGGAAAAGAAUAACAACAACAAUAAUAAUAAUAAUAGUAUUAAUAGUAAUAAUGUGUACGAAAUAAGUGAUGCACAAUGCAAUUGCUCACCACCCGCUGACCGAUGCCCAGCCUAUCCCCGAGCAGCCGGCCCCCCACCCCGGCUAGCCACCCCUAUAUAUUGUUCAGCAUGACGUCAGAUGGUAUGGAAUACCCCUUUGGCCAGUUUGGGUCAGCUGUCCUGGGUCUGUCCCCUCCCAGCUCCUGCUGCACCCCCAGCCUGCUCGCUAGCAGGACAGAGAGAGGCUGAAAAGUCCUUGGCUUGGUGUAAGCAUUGCUCUACAACAAUUAAAACAUCAGCAUGUUAUCAGCGCUCUUCUCAUCCUAAUCCAAAACAUAGCACCCUGCCAGCUACUAGGAGGGAAAUUAACUCUGUCCUACCUGAAACCAGGACAACUUAAAAUGCUGGAAGUGGCUUCUGGUUUUUCAUAAGCAUGGGAAAACCCUAGGGCAUCUUUUGCCUGUAAGGAAUUCUUGUUCCCUAGUAAAGCCCUGGAGCAUGUUCAUGGCACAGCUACCAUGAUAGGAGUGCUUUUGUUGGCUUGGUUUGUUUUGAGAAUGUGCAGCUGCAGAGGCAAGAUCUCUAAUGUGCAUUUACUUACUGUCCACGAGGGGGCUCUGGCAGGCCGGGGCUGAAUGCUCAAGGUCCCCAACGGAGUUAGUUCACUAAAAUGGCAGGCUGUAGCAAUAGGAUGCCAGUUGCCCCUGGGGUGAUUAAAUCUGUUCUGCAAAGUAAUUCUGUCUCAUUGUAAGAAAUACUACAUCUAUUGGAAAAACACUUCCCGAGCUUUAAUAACAGCAGUGGGUAAAUGAUCUUUUCCAUGGGAGAGGGCAGAUGCUACCCAACGUGUCAUUACAUGGGGAUUUCAGCUGUAUGAGAAAUUUCUCCAAAUAAAAAUUCAAGUGGUUUGCACAUGUCAGCAUGUCUGUAAAGUACCUGGAAUUGUUACAGAGAACCUUAAGUAUGUUUUUAUCUUAGCAGUGUAAACUUAGUGCUGUGACAUUUCAAUAAAGAUUUGUGGCUUUUGUUACACAGCCUUUGGUCUUUUUUUCUAGGAAUGUGUUUACAUGUUUUAACAGAUUUUUGACUUCUUAUAACUUCCCUUUGAAAAAGAACUGCAAUCUAACUUGUGCUGUGAGCGUAAAUCAUGUGAAUUGCUGUUGCUUAAUCUUUGCUUGACAAAUCUGUAUUAAAUUCUGGGCAGCAUGGAAGUUUUUUGUUUAAACAUUUGUCUUCAGUUGUUACUGUUAGCAAUGUAACUUUGUUAGAUGUAGCAUAAAUAAGCCCACUUCUGUAAAUGUAUAUAUAUUGAGGGUAAUUCUCAGCUCUGGAAAUGCUGAGGCUAAUUUUCAGCUAUACACAUUUGUGGCAGUGCAGAAGUGACAUUGCAGGAAUGAAGAAAGUGAGGCUUAAGUGAGAAACUAAAAUGAACCAAUAUGAUCAAUGACAUUAUAAAAAUCUAGUCCCGCUAUUACUUGAAGUAUUGCGCAGAAUAAAAUCUCCCUUGCUUGUGUA